rnacentral:rRNA from 1 species
ACUCCUACGGAAGGCAGCAGUGGGGAAUAUUGCGCAAUGGGCGAAAGCCUGACGCAGCGACGCCGCGUGAGUGAAGAAGGCCUUCGGGUUGUAAAGCUCUGUCAGAGGGAAAGAAUACUCCUGGUAACCCCAGUAGUUGACGGUACCCUUGAAGGAAGCACUGGCUAACUCCGUGCCAGCAGCCGCGGUAAU